rnacentral:rRNA from 1 species
UACGGAGGGUGCGAGCGUUGUCCGGAAUCACUGGGCGUAAAGGGCGCGUAGGCUGCGGGGCAAGUCGGGUGUGAAAUCUCAGAGCUCAACUCUGAAACUGCACUCGAUACUGCUUUGCUUGAGGACUGGAGAGGAGAUUGGAAUUCACGGUGUAGCAGUGAAAUGCGUAGAUAUCGUGAGGAAGACCAGUGGCGAAGGCGGAUCUCUGGACAGUUCCUGACGCUGAGGCGCGAAGGCCAGGGGAGCAAACGGG